CAGUCGCCGCGGUAAUACAGAGGGUGCGAGCGUUAAUCGGAUUUACUGGGCGUAAAGCGUGCGUAGGCGGCUUCUUAAGUCGGAUGUGAAAUCCCUGAGCUUAACUUAGGAAUUGCAUUCGAUACUGGGAAGCUAGAGUAUGGGAGAGGAUGGUAGAAUUCCAGGUGUAGCGGUGAAAUGCGUAGAGAUCUGGAGGAAUACCGAUGGCGAAGGCAGCCAUCUGGCCUAAUACUGACGCUGAGGUACGAAAGCAUGGGGAGCAAACAGGAUUAGAUAUCCCUGUAGUCCCUGUCUCUUAUAC
rnacentral:rRNA from 1 species